rnacentral:lncRNA from 1 species
GCCCGUGCCCCGCUCGUUUCUGCGCAGAGAACCGUCGCCGGGAAGUUCUUCGUCGGCCGCGCGUAGGCCGCCGUUCCGAGCCGUUUUCGCUGCGAUUUGGCGCCGUGGUGUGCUUCAUCUCCCUUCCCGCUCCCUCCCCGUCCUGUUGCCGAGUGAAUUGUGGCCCGGAGUUCUUGUUCCGCGAGCUCAGCAGGGACGUUCAUGGCGCCGCCGUGAACCUUCUCGAAAACCGCCUCCUCGACCGCGUUUAUGGGGUGGAAUGGACUCGCAUCGCUCUCCUAUUUCUCCCAGUUCAAUCGGAAUCGAAAACCGUGCACCGUAGCACCUCCUCCGCUCAACUCCGGCGAGCUUCAAGCGCAGGCCAUGGUGGCCACCGUGUUCUGGCCGGAGGUGGACUGUGCGCCGUCCCCUUCCUCUCUCUCUCUUUUUUAUUUUUUUUCUUUUAAUCUGGUGCGUUCAUCUGUGAUCCAACGGCCUAUAAUGCUCCGUACCCCUUCGAGGGCAUUCUUGUUAAAGAGUCCCCCAAAAAUUAUUGUAUUUGCACCGCAGUCCUCGGCCAGAGGAAUUAUAACACCCCAAAAUUUCAAUUUUAGGUUGUUAUUAUAAAAUACUAAAUAAAAUGAUUAGUUUUUAAUAUGAGGAUAAAAUUUUCCAACAAUAGUUUAGAUUUUCAUAUAUUUUUUUUAUCGAAGAAAAAUGGUGCUUUUCAAAUAUUUUGGAAUUAAUUAGACGAGCUUUAGUUGAUGUGAUGCUUGCUUGUUGCUUGAGUUUUGUGUUUUUGAGUGUGCUAGGUUUCAGAAAUGCGUUUGGACACCGUCCGGUCCUUCCUGAGAAUUUUUCAAAACUUUUUCGAAACUUUUUCCCAAUUUCCUAUAGCAAAAGUAUAAUUUUUGGACGCUCUAAAAUUCUUUUUCAUGGACACCAAAAACUUUAUCUAGAUUGAUCAACUCUCAAAAUAUCUCUAAAAGUUUUCUUUUAAUUUUUAGAAUUUUGGAAAUAUUUUUUAGGGAUUUAAAAUGAUUUCAGCU